AAUGUCUGUCACGGAUCUCUCCCAUCCCCUGGAGCAGAUCUCGGAGCGGGGAUUCCUCCCCAAAUGCCCGCUCCCCGGCCCCGUCGAC
rnacentral:ncRNA from 1 species